rnacentral:tRNA from 1 species
ACAUCUUUAGCUGAAUGGAGAAAGCGUUUGCCUUCGAAGCAAUUAGAUAUUGGUUCAAAUCCAAUAAGAUGUC